rnacentral:rRNA from 1 species
AGAUUUAUCCUGGCUCAGGAUAACGCUGGCGGCGUGCUUAACACAUGCAAGUCGAACGAUGAUCCCAGCUUGCUGGGGGAUUAGUGGCGAACGGGUGAGUAACACGUGAGUAACCUGCCCUUGACUCUGGGAUAAGCCUGGGAAACUGGGUCUAAUACCGGAUACGACCAUUCCACGCAUGUGGUGGUGGUGGAAAGCUUUUGUGGUUUUGGAUGGACUCGCGGCCUAUCAGCUUGUUGGUGGGGUAAUGGCCUACCAAGGCGACGACGGGUAGCCGGCCUGAGAGGGUGACCGGCCACACUGGGACUGAGACACGGCCCAGACUCCUACGGGAGGCAGCAGUGGGGAAUAUUGCACAAUGGGCGCAAGCCUGAUGCAGCGACGCCGCGUGAGGGAUGACGGCCUUCGGGUUGUAAACCUCUUUCAGUAGGGAAGAAGCGUAAGUGACGGUACCUGCAGAAGAAGCGCCGGCUAACUCGU